rnacentral:rRNA from 1 species
CCUACGGGAGGCAGCAGUGGGGAAUCUUGCGCAAUGGGCGAAAGCCUGACGCAGCCAUGCCGCGUGAAUGAUGAAGGUCUUAGGAUUGUAAAAUUCUUUCACCGGGGACGAUAAUGACGGUACCCGGAGAAGAAGCCCCGGCUAACUUCGUGCCAGCAGCCGCGGUAAUACGAAGGGGGCUAGCGUUGCUCGGAAUUACUGGGCGUAAAGCGUGCGCAGGCGGUUAUGUAAGACAGAUGUGAAAUCCCCGGGCUCAACCUGGGAACUGCAUUUGUGACUGCAUGGCUAGAGUACGGUAGAGGGGGAUGGAAUUCCGCGUGUAGCAGUGAAAUGCGUAGAUAUGCGGAGGAACACCGAUGGCGAAGGCAAUCCCCUGGACCUGUACUGACGCUCAUGCACGAAAGCGUGGGGAGCAAACAGGAUUAGAUACCCUGGUAGUCCACGCCCUAAACGAUGUCAACUGGUUGUUGGGAAUUAGUUUUCUCAGUAACGAAGCUAACGCGUGAAGUUGACCGCCUGGGGAGUACGGCCGCAAGGUUGAAACUCAAAUGAAUUGACGGGG